GAAAAUGCGAUAUGCAAUGUGAAUUGCAGAACUAUGAAUCAUCGAAUCUUUGAACGCACAUUGCGCCCUUUGGUAUUCCAAAGGGCAUGCCUGUUCGAGCGUCAUUUGUACCCUCAAGCUUUGCUUGGUGUUGGGCGUCUUGUCUCCAGUUCGCUGGAGACUCGCCUUAAAGUCAUUGGCAGCCGGCCUACUGGUUUCGGAGCGCAGCACAAGUCGCGCUCUCUUCCAGCCAAGGUCAGCGUCCAGUAAGCCUUUUUUUCAACUUUUGGCCUCGGAUCAGGUAGGGAUACCCGCUGAACUUAA
rnacentral:misc_RNA from 1 species